rnacentral:piRNA from 1 species
UAGUUGUCUUGCAUUGCUGUGUCCAUAUC